rnacentral:lncRNA from 1 species
UUGUAUGGCGCAGAAACCCAUGAUUUUGGUAAAUAAAAUCAUAUUUAUGAAAUGAAAUCAAAGUUUUUAACAAAGUUGAUAGAUUGGAAUGAAAUCAAGUGUGAUUUUCAUGCUUUUUUGUGCAGCACAGAAACACAUGAUUUUGCUAAAUAAUUUCAUUUUUGUCCUGCAGUCCUGAAAUUUUUAUCAAGUGUGAGUUUAUUUUGAUUCAGGAUUGUCACAAAUAAAAGAAAAGAUUCUGUGUUAAUGUACAGACGCAUGGAAAUAUUGACAUAUAACCCAAAUUUUGAUUUUGGGGCAGUUUACACCAAACCUAUAGAUAAUGCCCAACAUAAAAAUUUUUUUCAGAUUUUCAAAAUUAAGCCGUUUAGCUAUAAUUACAUAAUUACAAAAAUAUAUGAAAUAUUAUGUUUUCCUAUAUUUAUGGACAAAAAAUGCAGAUGAUAAAUGUAUAAGCUUUUUCCCAAAAAGUGUCUUAGAAAAAUAGUUGCAUAUUUCAACAUAAGUUUCAAAUAUUUAUUUCCUGCUUACCAAGGGCACUGAGAUGAAAUUGCAGAGUAUAUUUGAAACCUUUGAAAUAUUUGAAUUGAACAGUUGGACACCUGAACAACUUUUGCAACAGGUUGAACAAGCUCUUGCUAAGGUUGAUGAAAACAAUGAGGCUAGUAAAUGUAAGGACGUCCCUGGGAUUGAUGAUGUUCUUCUUAAGCAAUUGAAGAAGUCUAUUCUAGAACUAGAAUGACUGUGAUUAAACCCUCUACACCUUACAAUUCUAGGAUGGGAACCAUACACAAAUCAGGUUAAUCAUUAUUUUUAAUAUUGUAAUUUAUCA